AGAUUGGUGCAUUCCACCUUGAAAGGAGGUGACUGGCAGAGGACUGCACACCAGGGAUAUAUGUCAAGCUAAACAUGUCACACAUGAUGGUCCAGGUUCAAACCAAUGAAAGAUUUGCAUCAUCCACAGUAUUCUGCUUUGGAAGAUUAGGACCAGCUUGAGAGAAAUGAAGAGAGCCGAAGUGGCUUAGCGGACAAAUUCAACUGCUUGGAGAUUUCAGAGAGACGCCACAGGCAAGGUGGGCUGAACGGCCUCCGCCUCUGCUCCAUCAAUUCAAUAAUGGUUUCACUUGGCUUGGCCUGAUUUCACCUCAGUUUGUGAAUAGUCUACCAAAGGAACAGAGUGGGAGGGCUCGAGUCAUGAGUGAUAUUCUCCUAAUGACGACAUCACCAGCAGAGGUCCGAUUGAUUCCCUAAUCGCUUUUAAAACAGUCUGAAAAGCCAGCCCAUUCCGAACACAACUGCAAAUUAGGAUGAUGGGAAGUUGGAAUAAAAGAAUUUGAAGCC